CAGCAGCCGCGGUAAUACGUAGGUGGCAAGCGUUGUCCGGAAUUAUUGGGCGUAAAGGGCUCGCAGGCGGUUUCUUAAGUCUGAUGUGAAAGCCCCCGGCUCAACCGGGGAGGGUCAUUGGAAACUGGGAAACUUGAGUGCAGAAGAGGAGAGUGGAAUUCCACGUGUAGCGGUGAAAUGCGUAGAGAUGUGGAGGAACACCAGUGGCGAAGGCGACUCCCUGGUCUGUAACUGACGCUGAGGAGCGAAAGCGUGGGGAGCGAACAGGAUUAGAUACCCGAGUAGUCCCUGUCUCUUAUAC
rnacentral:rRNA from 1 species